GAUGAACGCUAGCGGCAGGCUUAACACAUGCAAGUCGAGGGGAAACGAUAGUGCUUGCACUAGGCGUCGACCGGCGAACGGGUGCGUAACGCGUAUAGAAUCUGCCUUGUACAGGAGGAUAGCCUUUAGAAAUGAAGAUUAAUACUCCAUAAUGUAUUGUAGUGGCAUCAUUAUAAUAUUAAAGAUUUAUUGGUACAAGAUGACUAUGCGUCCUAUUAGCUAGAUGGUAAGGUAACGGCUUACCAUGGCGACGAUAGGUAGGGGGUCUGAGAGGAUUAUCCCCCACACUGGUACUGAGACACGGACCAGACUCCUACGGGAGGCAGCAGUGAGGAAUAUUGGACAAUGGGCGGAAGCCUGAUCCAGCCAUGCCGCGCGCAGGAAGACUGCCCUAUGGGUUGUAAACUGCUUUUAUACAGGAAGAAACCUACUUACGUGUAAGUAGCUGACGGUACUGUAAGAAUAAGCACCGGCUAACUCCGUGCCAGCAGCCGCGGUAAUACGGAGGGUGCAAGCGUUAUCCGGAAUCAUUGGGUUUAAAGGGUCCGCAGGCGGUCAAUUAAGUCAGAGGUGAAAUCCCAUAGCUUAACUAUGGAACUGCCUUUGAUACUGGUUGACUUGAGUCAUAUGGAAGUAGAUAGAAUAAGUAGUGUAGCGGUGAAAUGCAUAGAUAUUACUUAGAAUACCGAUUGCGAAGGCAGUCUACUACGUAUGUACUGACGCUCAUGGACGAAAGCGUGGGGAGCGAACAGG
rnacentral:rRNA from 1 species